GUGUUACUCCCUCCGUCCGGAAAUACUUGUCGUAGAAAUAAAUAAAAUGAAUGUAUCUAUAACUAAAAUAAGUCUAGAUACAACCAUUUGUAGGACAAGUAUUUUCGGACAGAGGGAGUAAUUA
rfam:Triticum aestivum genome assembly, contig: Triticum_aestivum_CS42_TGACv1_scaffold_642213_T_5BL-0.162311_4BL-0.082184